CUUCCGCUAUAUGACCUAGCCUUAGGUGCCAUAGAUACUUAUCAUUUAGAUUAUCUCUAGGCCUUUUAAUUCCUAUGGCAUUCACAUUUUGCUCAAUAUUAAAUACAGAUACAUCAAUAUGUAGCUGAUAGAGACCGCUAAUAAGAAAACCAUCUGCAACUUUAUUAUUUUCAUAAAAAAUAUUACAAUGGUCCUUAUGAAAGCUAAUCACAUAGCCUUCUUGUGCUAAAUAUGA
rnacentral:lncRNA from 1 species